UAUGGCCCUAUCAUGUUGAAACACCAGUUCUCAUCUGAUCACUAAAGUUAAGCAAUGUUGAGCCUGGUCAGUACCUAGAUAGGUACUGCUUGGGAAUAUCAG